UACAGGGGGUGUAAACGUUGCUCGGAAUUAUUGGGCGUAAAGCGCGCGUAGGCGGCCACUUAAGUCGGAUGUGAAAGCCCCUGGCUCAACUGGGGAAGUGCACCCGAAACUGAAUGGCUUGAGUGCGAAAGAGGGUCGCGGAAUUCCCGGUGUAGAGGUGAAAUUACGUAGAUAUCGGGAGGAACACCGGUGGCGAAGGCGGCGACCUGGGUCGACACGUGACGCUGGAGGCGCGAAAGCCGUGGGGGAGGCAAACAGGGA
rnacentral:rRNA from 1 species